rnacentral:lncRNA from 1 species
CAGUUUGAUCUCAGACUGCUGUGCUAGCAAUCAGCGAGACUCCAUGGGCGUAGGACCCUCCAAGCCAGUGAGAUGAACCCGGUACCUCAGAUGGAAAUGCAGAAAUCACCCGUCUUCUGCAUCGCUCACGCUGGGAGCUGUAGACCGGAGCUGUUCCUAUUCGGCCAUCUUGGCUGCUCCCCCACUUCCUUGCUUUUUUAAGGGAUCCCUUCAGAUGAGGAGACGGAAGUCCAGAGGGUUUCAAUCGCUUGCCCAAAGUCACAGAGUCGGGAAGUGCAGAGCCAGGCCACUGCCUGGUUUUAAAUUCUGGGUGGAAAUGCAACGUGCCGGUCAACAUGGUGUGCUGGUGAGUGUGUUAUCCUCAGCGGUGCCCAGGGCACAAAUGUGCAGACCAGCUGACAGCAACAGCAGGCUCCCCUUUUCUCCAUCAGGAACUGUCAGAGGAGGCUGGAUGUGGAGGAAAGCUGGGAUUCCUUUUCUCAUUUGAAAAAUGUUGAAACAGAUGGAUAUAAAAAAAGCAAAAUGUCUUGUUCCACGUUUCCAAAAGAGGAAGUAUGAAAGGCGUAAUUGAAAUUCAAAACGUUUGGUCUGAAAAUCCUACAUCCGAUGUUUCUGCCCUCUGGGGCCAAUUCCACCACUCCCUGGAAAGUGAUGUGAUGACCCUGGGCUUGAGUCCAAAGAACAUAGGAGAGUUUUGGCAGGUCGAUGGUGUGUUGGUGCCAACCCACUUAGAGCGAAAACGACCGUCACUCCUUUAGAACAAGAGCCGUGUCUGCUGUGUCCACUGUUGCAUUUCCAAGGCCUAGCACAAUGCUUGGGGCAUAGUAGGUGCUGAGUAAAUGCCCAGUGACUGAAUGAAUACAAGAAUCUACUAAUGAGUGAGUGAGCUUCCCAUUGUUCAGAAGACAAAACACAGGGUCUGACAUGAGUACGGUGUGAUCAAGGACCAAAUCAAUUACAUAGUCAGUUGAGACUCUGAGAACCUAAAGGAAUAGCUGGAGGAACGGCUGCCCUGACGUCAGCAUGGCCGCGGCCCCUGACUACCCAGCUCCCUUCUAUCCCUCGAGCGGCAGGAAUCCGUCCCCACGCCCUUUUCCUUUAAAGGGCAACGGGCCGAAGGUGGGGCGGGCGGCGCGGCUCCCGCGAUCCAUUCAGGUCAAAAGGGAGAGUGAUCAAACAGGAGAGCCGAGGGGACCUAUAUUCAGAGACUUAACCGGACACCUGGACAGACCAUUACAACUUGGGACUUUUCAGGAGAAUGAGGGAAAUGUAGUUAUUGCACCUGAGCCUCACUCCAGCUCUGAGGUCCUCUUCACUUCUCUUUGGAAGAAAAUUGGAUAUCUUUUCCUAGUUGAAAGAGUAGAGAUCUGAUUUCUCCAAGGAUCAUCGCUUUUUGACACGGGAUUAUUAGAAGCAUUCAUUCAUCUAUCAAGGAGUUUUGGGAUACUUGCCAUAAGCCAAGCCCUCUGAUAGGUGCUGGAAACAUCAAGGUAAAUAAAAGAGUUCUUCUCCUUGGAGAACAUAUUGGUCUAAUAACUACUUCUGGGGCUCCCUGCUCUGUGCCCAGGAAGUUCAUCCUUGGACUGCACGCAUGAACGAGUUUGCUGUCUUCCCAUUGGAUUCAGCCAGUCCGCGGUCCUGGAGCAAAUUCAGGACCUGACACAUAAGAACUGGUGGAGAAUUACCUGCAGAAUAGAUGCUGAAUCUUUGUGCCUCUCUGCUCUCCAAGAAGAUGGCAUGCUCCUUGAUGACAAGAGCCACCUCUGAUCUCCCCCAUCCAGUCAAAAUCUUCCAGAAAACAGACCAUCAAUAUGGAUUUGCAGCAUGUAUUGUGAUUGUUUAACAUAAUUUUCCAACAGCCAAUUAUGUGUGGCCACUAUACGUAGAUAUUUCUUUAGCUCAUAUUUUAAUACCUGUCCUGUCAUUCUACAUUACAUAUGUGGAAGACCUUUAACCCAGUUUAGUUUAUAUAUAAUAAGUACAAAAGGGAAAAAAGAAAGCUUCCUUUUUUCACCUCUUUGGGGACUUCUUCAGUCUUUUUCCAGAUGUGGAAUCCAGAUCGUGUUAUUUUCUUUCCAGACUGGGCCUAGGAGCAAUACGUUAAGAGUCAGCAAAGCCUCAAGAAUCAUCCAGCUCUUCAGCAAAGCCUCAAGAAUCAUCCAGCUCUUUUCUCCUCUUCAAAGUUGCCCUUCUUUUCUCUGAACAUUAAUGUAUCUCUCUGUAUCACUUAUCCAUUGCUGUGCAGCAAACUACCUCAAAACCUAGCACUUUCAGUCAGCAAACACUUAUCAGUUUACAGAGUUUCUGAGAUCAGAAGUCAAGGAGUGGUUCACGUCGGUGGUUCUGGCUCAGUCUCUCAUGGGGCUGCAGUGGAGGUGCAGAAUCUGACGGGGCUGACGAUUCACUUCCAAGCUCACCUCACUGGUGCGGCUGUUUUCAGGACAACUCAGCUCCCUGCCACAUGGGCCUCUCCAUAGAAAGCUUAUAACACAGCAGCUGGCUUCCCCCAGAGUAAGUGAUUCAAGAGAGCAAGCCACCAAGGCUGGGUGCGGUGGCUCACACCUGUAAUCCCAGCACUUUGGGAGGCGGAGGUGGAUGGAUCACCUGAGGUCAGGAGUGUGAGACCAGCCUGGCCAACAGAGCGAAACCCUGUCUCUGGGAAAAAUACAAAAAUUAGCCAGGCAUGAUGUGAUGGUGGGCGCCUGUGAUCCCAGCUACUCUGGAGGCUGAGGCAAGAGAAUUGCUUGAUCCUGGGGGGCAGAGGUUGCAGUGAGCUGAGAUAAAAAAGAGAGAGCAAGCCACCAAAUGGGAGCCACACACCCUUUUAUAAUCUGGUCUCUGAAGUCAUCCAUUGUAUCCUAUUCUGUAGAAGUAAAUCACUAAGUCCAGUCCCGGAAGGGCAAUUAGACUCUAUCUCUUGAAGGAAGAAGUAUGAAUUUUUGCAUGGACAGUCAUGCACUGCCUAAUGACGUUUUGUCAAUGAUGGACCACAUAUGUAACGGUGGUCCCAUUAGAUAAUAAUGGAACUGAACAGUUCCUGCUGCCUAAUGACACUGAGGCCACCAUAACAUCAUGGUGCAAGACAUUCCUUAUGUGUUUGUGGUGAUGCCGGUGGAAACAAACCUACUGUGCUGCCAGUUGUACAAAUGUCUAGGCCAUACAAUUAUGUACAGUGCGUAAUACUUGAACAUAAUAACAAAUGACUAUGCUACUGGAAGAAGAAAUACUUUCCCAGACAAAUAAAAGCUGAGGAAUAUCAUCAACAUCAGACCUGUCUUACAAAAAAUGCUAAAGGGAGUUCUUCAAUCCAAAAGAAAAAGAUGUUAAUGAGCAAAAAUAAAUCAUCUGAAGGUGCAAAACUUGCUGGUAAUUGUAAGUACAAAGAAAACACAGAAUAUUAUAACACUGUAACUUACAUGCUGUGGUGUGUAAACUACUCAUAUGUUAAGUAAAAAGACUAAAAUAUAAAUCAAUUAAAAUAAUAAUUGCAACAACUUUUCAAGACAUAGACAGUACAAUAAGAUACAAAUAGGAACAACAAAAUGUUAAAAAGCAGGUUGACACAGUUAAGGUGUAAAGGUUUUAUUAGUUUUCCCUUUGCUUCUUUGUUUAUGCAAUCAGUGUUUAGUUGUCAACAGUUUAAAAUAAUGGUUAUAAGAUAUUGUUUGCAAAUCUCAUGGUGACCUCAAAUCAAAAACAUACAACAGAUACAUGAAAAAUAAAAAGGAAGAAAUUAAAACAUACCACUGGAGAAAAUCACCUUUACUAACAGAAAGACAGGAAGGAAGGAAAGAAGGAAGAGAAGACCACAAAACAACCAGAAAACUCACAAUAAAAUGGCAGGAUUAAGUCUUUAUUUAUCAACAAUAACAUUGAAUGUAAGUGGAUUAAACUCUCUGAUCAAAAGACAUAGAGUGGCUAAAUGUAUAACAAAACAAGACUCAAUAAUCUGUGGCCUACAAGAAACACACUUCACCUAUAAAAACACAUAUAGAUUAAAAAUAAAGGGAUAGAGAAAGAUAUUCCAUGGAAACAGAAGAUAGGUAAUUAUGUCUUCAUACUAUGGGACACUUCCCUCAGAUGCAUCCUCUAAACUGGAAAGAGUUAAUUUCCCAAAGCUUAAACUGGUUGGCUUAGGAUUGGGCUCAGGGGAAGAGAACCCAGAAACUCAACAUGCUGACAAAAGGGUGAAGUUUUUUACCAGUCGGAUUUUUGGCCUCCCUCUCUCUGUGAAAAACAGUAAAAGGUCUCAGUAUUUUUAAAUUUUCCUCACCCCUCCCAGUGUUUCAUUUUGAUACGUUUUCUAAUAACCCAGUGUGUCUUUUCUUGCCUUCAAGCCAUCAAACUCCAAACGGUCAUGCAACUGGAGCCUCCGGCGAUGGUCCCUUUUGCCAGGGACCCUGAGAUAGGCCUCCGAGGGAGCUCUGACUGCCAUUUCCCCAAAACAGCCCCCACUAUCAGCAGGAAACGGCUGCCUGAGCAAUUGUGUCUGGUUCGUGAAGUGACUUCCCAUUUUCAUCCAAUUGGCCCUGAUCUCACAUCCCAAGCCCAUGGAUCAUACCACAUUGUUCUUUCUGCAAAACAGUUGAGAAUUACCAGUAAUUGGGACUGUUUACAUUCAAUGCCAUCAUGACAGAAGCAGCUUUAUUAUAUUGCAGAGGAAUGAUUAAUACAUGAUGGGGAUUAAAGAUUGCACUGCAGCAGGCCAAGGCAAGAGGCAAUAAAGAUUAAUAAUUUUAGAUUUCCACUGUAGCAAGAACGGGAAAAAAGCGUCAUCUGAAAUGCCAACUUCAAGCAAUUGCAGUGAUUUCCUGGAACCCUACGUGACAAGUCCAGAUUCAGUGGGAAAGACUGUGAGGAUCCGUUAGCAAUGUUUACGAUGGGCAAGUCUUGUGAUGGGGUUACCCUCCUUGCAUUAGAAUUUGCAGUCUUCUAUUAGGCCAUUAGUCUUUGAGAGCAAAAACUGUAUGUAUCUCAUUUUUGUAGCCCCAGUGCCAGGCACACAGUAGCUGCUCCAAAAGCAAAGGACAUCGAGUCUGAAUCAAGCUGCUUGGGUUUAAUGGCUGUCUUUGUCGCUUACUAGCUGAGUGGACUCGUCAUAUUUAUAACUUAAUUGUGGUUCAGUUUCCUUCUCUACAGAAAAGGCAUGAGUUCCUCAUUCAUAGAGUUAUAAUAAGGGUUAAAUAAAGUCAUGCAUAUCCAAAGCUUAGCAUAGUACCUGAGACAUAGCAAAUACUUGAGGAAUGCAGGUAUAAAUUAACAUAGGAGUGAAUAACAUUGCAAGGAAACAGAGAAAAGGAUCCUAAACAGUCCUGCUGGUAUAUUCAUUUAUGAUUCAAAAAUCCUCAAUUGUUAAAAUUUGGGUCAGAACCUUAUUAUUCCAGGUUGUUGGUAAAUGUGAGGACCCUUCUGGGUUUGGAAGUAGAACAAUAAAUUGAGAGGCCAAAGAAGCUGCAAAUAAAAAUUGGCUUCUCUGGGAAAAUGAUUUUCACAUUUAUACCUACCUGCCUUUUGUCCUCCCAUGCAUUUCUCCAGAUGUGAUACCAAUGUGAUACAAUUGUUGUUUAUUCCUUCUCUGACAAUAGCAAGGUAGAGUGAGCCUUCCAGUGAGGGCUUAAAAUAUAGCUCCAGAGACAUUCACCACUACUUCCUGCCUCCAUGGUUACACAUUCCCUUUCACAAAUAAAACAUGGCCUCAUGCUUCAUGCUGAGCUUGCAUUUUACAUACAUCAUUUGGAUCUUCUCUGCAAACCUAUGAAGUGGGCAUGGUAAUCUUCCUUUACAAAUAGAGAAACUGAGGCCUAAGAUGGGGAGCAAUUUCCCUUUAAAAACCUUUUAUUGUCAAGGUCCAAAUGGCUGAUGAUUCAUGCCAUAGACAUCCCAAACCAGCUGGUAGGCAGAGCUCUUGGCAUUCCAAAUGGAAACGUGGAACAGACACAGAUCACCUGGCCACACAGACCUCAGCUCUAAAGACAGAUGACUACUUACCUGUUAAAGUUCCCUGUGCACUAUUUUUUAAAAUCUAGAGAUAGAUAAUAAAUAGGUUAAGUUACAUUUUAAAUUAGCCCAAGAGCAUUUGAGAACAGAAUCAUUUUUAGAAUCUUAAUUCUGAGAUUCACUGUUGGGCUUAAGUCACUGCUUCUGUGAUGGUUAGUUUUGGGUGUGAACUUGACUGUAUUAAGGGAUACUUACCUGGGAAAGCAUUAUUUACUCUCCAUGCUUCAGUAGAUACUGAGCCCUUCCCUUUUCUGCUGAAAGGGAAACCCAGGUGGCUUGGCGUUUGAUUAGAAUAAUUGGGCUGCCCCAGGUGUGUCCGUGAGGGUGCCUCUGAGGGAAACUGGGACUAAAUGAAGAAGAUCUGCCCUCCAUAUGGGCAGGCACUAUUCCAAUUGGCUGGGGGCCCCAGAUAGAACAAAAAGGCAGAUAAAGGGCAGUCUCCCUGGAGAAGAGACCUGCCUGUAGACAGACAUCAGAACUCCAGGUUCUCCAGCCUUUGGGCUCCAGGACUCACACCAAUGCGCCACCGGGCUCUCUGACCUUCAGCUUUGGACUGAGAAUUACACCAUAGAAUGCCCUGGUUCUGAGGCCUUCAAACUCAGACUGAGCCACGCUACAGGCUUUCCGGAUUGUCCAGCAUACAGAAGGUCUGUUGUGGGAUUUCUCAGCCUCCAUGAGUAAGUAAGAAAAUUGCCUCUAAUAAAUCCUUUUUCAUAUGUCUCUC